UACGGGGGGUGCGAGCGUUGUCCGGAAUCACUGGGCGUAAAGGGCGCGUAGGUGGCCUGGUAAGUCUGUGGUGAAAGCCCGGAGCUCAACUCCGGGUCUGCCGCGGAUACUGCGAGGCUUGAGUGCUGUAGAGGGGGGUAGAAUGCCGGGUGUAGCGGUGGAAUGCGUAGAGAUCCGGAAGAACACCGGUGGCGAAGGCGGCCUGCUGGGCUAUGGCUGACACUGAGGCGCGACAGCGUGGGGAUCAAACAGG
rnacentral:rRNA from 1 species